GUUGCCUACGGGACGCAGCAGUGGGGAAUAUUGCACAAUGGGGGAAACCCUGAUGCAGCGACGCCGCGUGAGUGAGGAAGGAAUUCGUUAUGUAAAGCUCUAUCAGCAGGGAAGAAAAUGACGGUACCUGAGUAAGAAGCCCCGGCUAACUACGUGCCAGCAGCUGCGGUAAUACGUAGGGGGCAAGCGUUAUCCGGAUUUACUGGGUGUAAAGGGAGCGUAGACGGCAGUGCGAGUCUGGAGUGAAAGGCGGGGGCUCA
rnacentral:rRNA from 1 species